rnacentral:rRNA from 1 species
GCGUGCCUAACACAUGCAAGUCGAACGUGAAAGUCCUUCGGGAUGAGUAAAGUGGCGCACGGGUGAGUAACACGUAGGUGACCUGCCUUUUAGAGGGGAAUAACCAGAAGAAAUUUUGGCUAAUGCCGCAUACGAAGUACAAAUCUAAGAGUAGUACUUGAAAGAAUGCCUCUGUAUAUGCAUUCACUAAAAGAUGGGCCUGCGGUACAUUAGCUAGUUGGUGGGGUAAAGGCCUACCAAGGCAACGAUGUAUAUCCGGUCUGAGAGGAUGAUCGGACACACUGGAACUGAGACACGGUCCAGACUCCUACGGGAGGCAGCAGUGGGGAAUAUUGCGCAAUGGGGGAAACCCUGACGCAGCAACGCCGCGUGAGUGAGGAAGGACUUCGGUCUGUAAAGCUCUGUUAAUGUGGAAAAAUGAUAGUUGGUCUAAUAGGCCGAUUAUUUGAUGGUACACAUAGAGGAAGCACCGGCUAACUUCGUGCCACCAGCCGCGGUAAUACGAAGGGUGCAAGCGU